rnacentral:lncRNA from 1 species
CUAUCUGCACUUUUUUUUUUUUUAUAGAUCCAUAUAUAUCCAAUGGGUAUUAUAUCCUUUGGGGGAUGUACUAAGAUCCAUAUAUGAUUGAAAUGUAUUGAGUCAAUUUAUGACUUCAUGACAUUCAACUAUUUCUUAGAGUCGAUGUCUGAUAUCACAUCGUUGUAGGUUUUAGGAUCAUCUCCAUAUUCCCUAUCACCUACGAAGAAUAUUUUCUUUACAU